rnacentral:rRNA from 1 species
UACGUAGGGGGCAAGCGUUGUCCGGAAUCAUUGGGCGUAAAGCGCGUGUAGGCGGCCCGAUAAGUCCGCUGUGAAAGUCCAGGGCUCAACCCUGGGAUGCCGGUGGAUACUGUCGGGCUCGAGUCCGGAAGAGGCGAGUGGAAUUCCUGGUGUAGCGGUGAAAUGCGCAGAUAUCAGGAGGAACACCAAUGGCGAAGGCAGCUUUCUGGGACGGUACUGACGCUGAGACGCGAAAGCGUGGGGAGCGAACAGG